AGUACUUGCAGACUUGACACAUUUCUGUCUAGUGUCUGCUAGCUGGUAUAUUAUCUCCAGUUUCAGCUCCAGUCAAUAUAACUUUUAAAUGCCACAGUUUAUUUUAUUUUUUUCUCCCGGUUAAAUAUUCAAAAUAAAAAACCGCGAGGGAAAAAAUUUAAUCUCGUGCUAUUGUAUUCUGUAGAAAGACAUCUCGAUGCUUUGUCUUCUGGAUCUUUAUUUCUUUUUCGAGAACAAAAUGAAAGGGCGGAAGCGCGACACAGUAAUAUAUACGAUACGCAAAGUGAAAGCAGGAGCAGCAGCGAGAAGAGAGCAGAGAGCGACUGAUUUUGGCUCUCUUACAUUUGGUCGCGCGCGAUACGAAACUUGAGGUUGUACCGGGCUAAAUUAAUUUAGCUUAUGAUGAUUGCGGCAAAGGGUAGAGUAGAGAGGUAUCAGCUGUCUAAACGUUUGAGCGAAAAAAAAAAUAAUAAAAUAAAAUAACGAUAAUAAUAAUAAGGAUAAGGAUAAAAAUAUAUAUACAUUAAUGUGCUAUCAAAUAAACGAAAGUGAAAUCAAAUUUAUGACAAAAUCAUGGCCUUGAAUAUACAUUAACAUGGCGUAAUAAAAACGAAUGAAUGUGUGUAUGUGACCUUAUAAUAAAUGACUAUAUAGUAAAUGUGACAAGAGACAUUUGGGAAUUACCAAAAAUAUAACAUAUAUUAUAUGUACUUGUUAUUAAUUUAUAACAAAAAAAAAACAACAUUUAUUUGCCACAAAUAUUGUCUCAGACAUGAUUUAAAUUUUAAAAAAAUCCGCCAUUCAUAUAAAUUAAUGUAUAUCAACGUGUGAAUUUCAGUGUGAAAAUGUUAUAUUAUCUACAUACAAAGAAUUUAAAGAUUUUGCGUGACACGCACAUAUCCCACAUAUCGCACAGCCCAAAUGAUAAACAAAACCAGACUUACAAACUCAAAUGAUUCAGGUUUCGUCUACUUUUUAAAUUUUAUUGCACGACAAUAUCAAACUUC